CUACGGGGUGCACCAGUGAGGGAUUUUGCGCAAUGGGGGAAACCCUGACGCAGCAACGCCGCGUGAGUGAAGAAGGCCUUUGGGUCGUAAAGCUCUGUCAACAGGGAAGAAGUUAUUUGAUUUAAAUAGGAUCAAGUAUUGACGGUACCUGUGGAGGAAGCAUCGGCUAACUCCGUGCCAGCAGCCGCGGUAAUACGGGGGAUGCAAGCGUUAUUCGGAAUUAUUGGGCGUAAAGGGCACGCAGGCGGCCUUUUCAGUCAGAUGUGAAAGCCCGGGGCUCAACCCCGGCAGUGCAUUUGAAACAGAAAGGCUUGAGUACGGUAGAGGAGAGGGGAAUUCCUGGUGUAGAGGUGAAAUUCGUAGAUAUCAGGAGGAACACCGGUGGCGAAGGCGCCUCUCUGGGCCUGUACUGACGCUGAGGUGCGAAGGCGUGGGUAGCGAACAGGAUUAGAUACCCGCGUAGUC
rnacentral:rRNA from 1 species